rnacentral:rRNA from 1 species
GGGUUGUGAGGUUAAGCGACCAAGCGUACACGGUGGAUGCCCUGGCAGUCAGAGGCGAUGAAGGACGUGCUAAUCUGCGAUAAGCGCCGGUAAGGUGAUAUGAACCGUUAUAACCGGCGAUUUCCGAAUGGGGAAACCCAGUGUGAUUCGUCACACUAUCAUUAACUGAAUCCAUAGGUUAAUGAGGCGAACCGGGGGAACUGAAACAUCUAAGUACCCCGAGGAAAAGAAAUCAACCGAGAUUCCCCCAGUAGCGGCGAGCGAACGGGGAGGAGCCCAGAGCCUGAAUCAGCAUGUGUGUUAGUGGAAGCGUCUGGAAAGGCGCGCGAUACAGGGUGACAGCCCCGUACACAAAAGCGCAUAUGCUGUGAGCUCGAUGAGUAGGGCGGGACACGUGGUAUCCUGUCUGAAUAUGGGGGGACCAUCCUCCAAGGCUAAAUACUCCUGACUGACCGAUAGUGAACCAGUACCGUGAGGGAAAGGCGAAAAGAACCCCGGCGAGGGGAGUGAAACAGAACCUGAAACCGUGUACGUACAAGCAGUGGGAGCACAGGUUUACCUGUGUGACUGCGUACCUUUUGUAUAAUGGGUCAGCGACUUAUAUUCUGUAGCAAGGUUAACCGUAUAGGGGAGCCGAAGGGAAACCGAGUCUUAACCGGGCGUUAAGUUGCAGGGUAUAGACCCGAAACCCGGUGAUCUAGCCAUGGGCAGGUUGAAGGUUGGGUAACACUAACUGGAGGACCGAACCGACUAAUGUUGAAAAAUUAGCGGAUGACCUGUGGCUGGGGGUGAAAGGCCAAUCAAACCGGGAGAUAGCUGGUUCUCCCCGAAAGCUAUUUAGGUAGCGCCUCGUGAACUCAUCUCCGGGGGUAGAGCACUGUUUCGGCUAGGGGGCCAUCCCGGCUUACCAACCCGAUGCAAACUGCGAAUACCGGAGAAUGUUAUCACGGGAGACACACGGCGGGUGCUAACGUCCGUCGUGAAGAGGGAAACAACCCAGACCGCCAGCUAAGGUCCCAAAGUCAUGGUUAAGUGGGAAACGAUGUGGGAAGGCCCAGACAGCCAGGAUGUUGGCUUAGAAGCAGCCAUCAUUUAAAGAAAGCGUAAUAGCUCACUGGUCGAGUCGGCCUGCGCGGAAGAUGUAACGGGGCUAAACCAUGCACCGAAGCUGCGGCAGCGAACGUAUCACUUAAAACGAUUCAGAAGCUUACGAUUGACGGAGCGAAGCGACGUCAAAGCGUAUACAAAGUCGAGUCGGUUUAAGGAUACGUUCGUUGGGUAGGGGAGCGUUCUGUAAGCCUGCGAAGGUGGCCUGUGAGGGUUGCUGGAGGUAUCAGAAGUGCGAAUGCUGACAUAAGUAACGAUAAAGCGGGUGAAAAGCCCGCUCGCCGGAAGACCAAGGGUUCCUGUCCAACGUUAAUCGGGGCAGGGUGAGUCGACCCCUAAGGCGAGGCCGAAAGGCGUAGUCGAUGGGAAACGGGUUAAUAUUCCCGUACUUGGUGUUACUGCGAAGGGGGGACGGAGAAGGCUAUGUUGGCCGGGCGACGGUUGUCCCGGUUUAAGCGUGUAGGCUGACUUUCCAGGCAAAUCCGGAGAGUCAAGGCUGAGGCGUGACGACGAGGCACCACGGUGCUGAAGCAACAAAUGCCCUGCUUCCAGGAAAAGCCUCUAAGCAUCAGGUAACAUCAAAUCGUACCCCAAACCGACACAGGUGGUCAGGUAGAGAAUACCAAGGCGCUUGAGAGAACUCGGGUGAAGGAACUAGGCAAAAUGGUGCCGUAACUUCGGGAGAAGGCACGCUGACACGUAGGUGAAGUGAUUUACUCAUGGAGCUGAAGUCAGUCGAAGAUACCAGCUGGCUGCAACUGUUUAUUAAAAACACAGCACUGUGCAAACACGAAAGUGGACGUAUACGGUGUGACGCCUGCCCGGUGCCGGAAGGUUAAUUGAUGGGGUCAGCGCAAGCGAAGCUCCUGAUCGAAGCCCCGGUAAACGGCGGCCGUAACUAUAACGGUCCUAAGGUAGCGAAAUUCCUUGUCGGGUAAGUUCCGACCUGCACGAAUGGCGUAAUGAUGGCCAGGCUGUCUCCACCCGAGACUCAGUGAAAUUGAACUCGCUGUGAAGAUGCAGUGUACCCGCGGCAAGACGGAAAGACCCCGUGAACCUUUACUAUAGCUUGACACUGAACAUUGAGCCUUGAUGUGUAGGAUAGGUGGGAGGCUUUGAAGCGUGGACGCCAGUCUGCGUGGAGCCGGCCUUGAAAUACCACCCUUUAAUGUUUGAUGUUCUAACGUGGACCCGUGAUCCGGGUUGCGGACAGUGUCUGGUGGGUAGUUUGACUGGGGCGGUCUCCUCCUAAAGAGUAACGGAGGAGCACGAAGGUUGGCUAAUCCUGGUCGGACAUCAGGAGGUUAGUGCAAUGGCAUAAGCCAGCUUGACUGCGAGCGUGACGGCGCGAGCAGGUGCGAAAGCAGGUCAUAGUGAUCCGGUGGUUCUGAAUGGAAGGGCCAUCGCUCAACGGAUAAAAGGUACUCCGGGGAUAACAGGCUGAUACCGCCCAAGAGUUCAUAUCGACGGCGGUGUUUGGCACCUCGAUGUCGGCUCAUCACAUCCUGGGGCUGAAGUAGGUCCCAAGGGUAUGGCUGUUCGCCAUUUAAAGUGGUACGCGAGCUGGGUUUAGAACGUCGUGAGACAGUUCGGUCCCUAUCUGCCGUGGGCGCUGGAGAACUGAGGGGGGCUGCUCCUAGUACGAGAGGACCGGAGUGGACGCAUCACUGGUGUUCGGGUUGUCAUGCCAAUGGCACUGCCCGGUAGCUAAAUGCGGAAGAGAUAAGUGCUGAAAGCAUCUAAGCACGAAACUUGCCCCGAGAUGAGUUCUCCCUGAGACUUAGAGUCUCCUGAAGGAACGUUGAAGACGACGACGUUGAUAGGCCGGGUGUGUAAGCGCAGCGAUGCGUUGAGCUAACCGGUACUAAUGAACCGUGAGGCUUAACCUUACAACGCCGAAGCUGUU